rnacentral:rRNA from 1 species
AACGAACGCUGGCGGCAUGCCUAACACAUGCAAGUCGAACGGGAUCCUGGUUUCGGCCAGGUGAGAGUGGCGGACGGGUGAGUAACGCGUGGGAACCUGCCCAGUGGUGGGGGAUAACUGCGGGAAACUGCAGCUAAUACCGCAUGAGCCCGAAAGGGGAAAGAUUGAUCGCCAUUGGAGGGGCCCGCGUUCGAUUAGGUAGUUGGUGAGGUAACGGCUCACCAAGCCUUCGAUCGAUAGCUGGUCUGAGAGGAUGAUCAGCCACACUGGGACUGAGAUACGGCCCAGACUCCUACGGGAGGCAGCAGUGGGGAAUAUUGGACAAUGGGGGCAACCCUGAUCCAGCAAUGCCGCGUGAGUGAUGAAGGCCUU